GCAAGUCGCACGAGAACGCUUCUGCUUGCAGAAGCUAGUAAAGUGGCGCACGGGUGAGUAACGCGUGGGUAAUCUACCUUCAAAUCGGGGAUAACAUUGCGAAAGCGAUGCUAAUACCGGAUGACAUCUAAUGGACUUCGGUUCAUAAGAUCAAGGGGGGCCUCUAUAUAUAAGCUUCCGUUUGAAGAUGAGCCCGCGUACCAUUAGCUUGUUGGUAGGGUAACGGCCUACCAAGGCAACGAUGGUUAGCUGGUCUGAGAGGAUGAUC
rnacentral:rRNA from 1 species